UUCCCUCGUAGUAGUUUGUAUUCGCCUCAAUUCUUUUUUCACUUCAAAAAAAAAUUAGAAAUCCCCUCCUAGUUUGUAUUCCCCCAAUCCUAAUCAGUUAUCACAAUCGAUCUUCAAUUAUUGUGGCCCCUAAUCUCCUUCUUAGAUUCAAGCAAUUGAGCAUCUUCGUAUUCAGCGGUCUGCAUUCUGCACUAACUGAUUCCAGAAAUCGUUAAUCGUUUCAUUAGGUAGCGUGGAGCUAGUGGUAGACUGAGUUCAAAAGCUGGUAAAAAGGUGUGGAUGAGGCGUUGUUUGCGGGCUAAGGAAAUCCACAUGUCUCAAAAAAAUAUGUACACAAUCCAGAAAAAGUUUUGCUAGAAUUUGUGAAGAUAUGGUAAUGUCUUUAUUUUUCUUGUGACUUGUGGUUUUUAUUGUUCAAGAACAUGCAUAUUUGCUGACACUACAACGAAAAUUGUACGUACCUUCUAGUUUUUUUUGAGAGUUUUGUGUAAUGUAUCCCAUAUGUGUUAAAUUUUGAAAGUUAGCUGCUUGUUCUUGUUUUUUAUUCUUUUUAACUGGCAACUUGUAUUGCUAGUUUAUUGGUUGUUGUUUCUUUAAAAUAUUUUCUAAUUCUGUUUUGAAGGAACAAAUGAAGAACUAUAAACCUCUAGAAGAUGGAAGUGCUUUGGUCUAUUAUUGUGCGGUUGUAUGAACUUCAAAGCGAGCUUUGAAGUUGAAAAAACACAGUUACUCGAAAUGUGAAACAAAAUUGAAGAGGACCAUCAAUGGAAGAAAAGUUUAGGUGGAAGCUAUGCAGGAAGGUUUUGAUAGCAAACGAGCAAACUUUGAAGCUAUGAUGCGAUGAAUUAUGGAAAAACUACCUAUUGGAGUGCUUUAGAAUCUUAGAUAUGAGUAGGUGGUUUCCGUUACUUAUUAUCAUUGUAAUUGACAGAUUUGUUUUGAUGACAUUGUUAUUAAUUUGGAGUUUGGACAUAUAUCAAACUAUGAUAUAAGAUUCUCUAUUAUGUU
rnacentral:lncRNA from 1 species